GAAAGAUUCAUCGGAAGAGGAUGGGCAUGCGGCGCAUUAGCUUGACGGCGGGGUAACGGCCCACCGUGGCGACGAUGCGUAGGGGUUCUGAGAGGAAGGUCCCCCACACUGGUACUGAGACACGGACCAGACUCCUACGGGAGGCAGCAGUGAGGAAUAUUGGUCAAUGGGAGAGAUCCUGAACCAGCCAAGCCGCGUGAGGGAAGACGGCCCUAUGGGUUGUAAACCUCUUUUGUCGGAGAACAAAACCCGGGACGUGUCCCGGACUGCGUGUAUCCGAAGAAAAAGCAUCGGCUAACUCCGUGCCAGCAGCCGCGGUAAUACGGAGGAUGCGAGCGUUAUCCGGAUUUAUUGGGUUUAAAGGGUGCGUAGGCGGUCUGUUAAGUCAGCGGUAAAAUUGCGGGGCUCAACCCCGUCGAGCCGUUGAAACUGGCAGACUUGAGUUGGCGAGAAGUACGCGGAAUGCGCGGUGUAGCGGUGAAAUGCAUAGAUAUCGCGCAGAACUCCGAUUGCGAAGGCAGCGUACCGGCGCCAGACUGACGCUGAGGCACGAAAGCGUGGGGAUCGAACAGGAUUAGAUACCCUGGUAGUCCACGCAGU
rnacentral:rRNA from 1 species